UUUCAAGGGUUCCCCUUGCCUGUGGGUGAAACUGGGGUGCCCUCCGGCUGAGGAGAGGACCCCGUGCGUGGAGGUGAGAUGGGGCUUAGCCCUGAAGUUUUCAAGGGUUCCCCUUGCAUGCGGGUCAAACUGGGGUGCCCUCCAGCUGAGGAGGGGACCCCGUGCGUGGAGGUGAGAUGGGGCUUAGCCCUGAAGUUUUCAAGGGUUCCCCUUGCCUGUGGGUGAAACUGGGGUGCCCUCCGGCUGAGGAGAGGACCCCGUGCGUGGAGGUGAGAUGGGGCUUAGCCCUGAAGUUUUCAAGGGUUCCCCUUGUUUGCAAGUAGAACUGGGGUGCCCUCCAGCUGAGGAGAGGACCCCGUGCGUGGAGGUGAGAUGGGGCUUAGCCCUGAAGUUUUCAAGGGUUCCCCUUGCAUGCGGGUCAAACUGGGGUGCCCUCCGGCUGAGGAGAGGACCCCGUGCGUGGAGGUGAGAUGGGGCUUAGCCCUGAAGUUUUCAAGGGUUCCCCUUGCAUGUGGGUGAAACUGGGGUGCCCUCCGGCUGAGGAGGGGACCCCGUGCGUGCCAGUGAGAUGGGGCUUAGCCCUGAAGUUUUCGAGGGUUCCCCUUGCGUGCGGGUGGAAAUGGGGUGCCCUCUAGCUGAGGAGAGGACCCCGUGCGUGGAGGUGAGAUGGGGCUUAGCCCUGAAGUUUUCAAGGGUUCCCCUUGCGUGCGGGUGGAACUGGGGUGCCCUCCGGCUGAGGAGGGGACCCCGUGCGUGGGGUAGAAGCCCCUGGUGAAGGGGUUUCUCCCCUGCGUGUGUGUGUGUGUGUGUACCUGUUUCUUGUUGCAAUUUCAGGUCCACUGUCUGCUCCAUAGCCAAGGUGGCCUUGCUGUUCUUUAGGGUCUGACCCUGCUCUCGUCUUCAUGCCCGUCUUCUGUCUGACGGCCAUGUGCAGGUUCAGCUGCCUCCAGCUCUUCUCCCCGACUUGCUUUCCCGUCCUGUGGAGGAAGGGCACGUCUCCGCAGCUGACAUCUCCCUUGGGCCUGCGCUUGCACCGAGCCGCUGCCAGAACGGGAACUGCAGGCGUCUGUUGAACAACAAAGCAAACGCCCAAGCAUUUCGGGUGUGAUGUCCCCAGCAUUCCAAGGAGAGAUUACGCAGCAGCAGCCCAAACGUCUGGAAUGGCUUCUUUCUAGGAGAGAAGCAAAGCCUUGGCGGAGCCAGAGCAGGAGCUUCUUUCCUGAAGGGAAGAGAACCUCCAGCCAUCGCUAUCCAUCUCCUCCCCCGCCAAAGGCCAAAGGCCAAAAGCCAAAGGCCAAAUCCCAAAUCCCAUAUCCCAAAUCCCCAAUCCCAAAUCCCAAAUCCCAAAUCCCCGCCUCCAUUGCUAACAUCAGAGCACAGCAAGCCGUACGUGUGCAGAAGCAUCCCAGAUUCCUAUGGCUCUGUAGCGGUGCGCUAAAGAGGGCCUCGGUCCUACAGCCUCACGGCAGGAACUUGGCAAACAAGGAGCUUCUCACGGGACUGCUCACUUGCAUCCACUGCCAUCGCAUCCACAGCCCGCAGCCCGCAGCCCGCAGCCGUCGGGUGAAGCCCUCAAGAGUACAACGGAGGUCGAGUGCUGAAAGCACGGGAGAGUUCCCGCAGCAACUGCUGCUAACAGCAGACGCUCCCAGCAACUCCAAGGAAGCCCUGAGAGCCCCGAGCCGUGCCCCAGGACCGCUUCCUCUCUCGAUUCACCGCCACCGCCACGGGAAAAGCAGACGGGAAAAGGGCACCGACGAAAGCUGCCGAUCGCGUUCACGACGGAGGCACUGCCGGCACUCGGGAG
ensembl:lncRNA